rnacentral:lncRNA from 1 species
GGAAACGAGGGUACAGUAAGACAGGGGGUUGUGGUGGGGGGUGGAAACGAGGGUACAGUAAGACAUCAGCAUUUCAUUCAGUCCAUCAUCAUCAUCAUCAUCAUCAUCAUCAGUCCUCAUUAAAAUCAAAUUAAAAAGAUGAUCUUGCAGUUUGGUGCUAAAGCUCCUUUCUGUUAGCAAUGUUUCCCAAACUGGGUCCUGGGGCCCCCCCACAUUACACAGCUGAUUCAGUUGAUCAAAGCUUCAUGACCAGUAGGUUACUUGAAUCAGCUGUGUUGUGCUGGGGGCAGAAACUAAACAUCCACCCAAAGGGGGGCCCAAGACCAAGUAUGGGAAACACUGGUAAAGGGGGGACAGGACAUGGGAAACAUUGGUAAAGGGGGGGACAGGACUUGGGAAACAUUGGUAAAGGCGGGGACAGGACAUGGGAAACAUUGGUAAAGGGGGGGACAGGACUUGGGAAACAUUGGUAAAGGCGGGGACAGGACUUGGGAAACAUUGGUAAAGGGGGGGACAGGACUUGGGAAACAUUGGUAAAGGCGGGGACAGGACAUGGGGACAGGACUUGGGAAACAUUGGUAAAGGGGGGGACAGGACUUGGGAAACAUUGGUAAAGGCGGGGACAGGACAUGGGGACAGGACUUGGGAAACAUUGGUAAAGGGGGGACAGGACAUGGGGACAGGACUUGGGAAACAUUGGUAAAGGGGGGGACAGGACUUGGGAAACAUUGGUAAAGGCGGGGACAGGACAUGGGAAACAUUGGUAAA